rnacentral:rRNA from 1 species
CAGUAGCCGCGGGAAUACGUAGGGGGCGAGCGUUGUCCGAAGUUACUGGGCGUAAAGCGCGCGUAGGCGGCUUCUUAAGUCUGAGGUGAAAGGUUCAACGCUUAACGUGAACAGUGCCUUGGAUACUGGGGAGCUUGAGUAUGGGAGAGGGCAGUGGAAUGGCUGGUGUAGCGGUGAAAUGCGUAGAUAUCAGUCGGAACACCCAUGGCGAAGGCAGCUGCCUGGCCUAAUACUGACGCUGAGGUGCGAAAGCGUGGGGAGCGAACGGGAUUAGAUACCCCGGUAGUCCCUGUCUCUUAUU